AAAAGCUGAGGCGGUAUGAGAUGGAUCCGUGUCUGAUUAGCUGGUUGGCGGGGUAGAGGCCCACCAAGGCGACGAUCAGUAGCCGACCUGAGAGGGUGGCCGGCCACAUUGGGACUGAGACACGGCCCAAACUCCUACGGGAGGCAGCAGUGGGGGAUAUUGCACAAUGGGGGAAACCCUGAUGCAGCAACGCCGCGUGAGUGAAGAAGUAUUUCGGUAUGUAAAGCUCUAUCAGCAGGGAAGAGAAUGACGGUACCUGACUAAGAAGCCCCGGCUAACUACGUGCCAGCAGCCGCGGUAAUACGUAGGGGGCGAGCGUUAUCCGGAUUUACUGGGUGUAAAGGGAGCGUAGACGGCUGGUCAAGUCUGAAGUGAAAGCCCGGGGCUUAACCCCGGAACGGCUUUGGAAACUGAGCAGCUAGAGUGCUGGAGAGGUAAGCGGAAUUCCUAGUGUAGCGGUGAAAUGCGUAGAUAUUAGGAGGAACACCAGUGGCGAAGGCGGCUUACUGGACAGUAACUGACGUUGAGGCUCGAAAGCGUGGGGAGCAAACAGGAUUAGAUACCCUGGUAGUCCACGCGGUAAACGAUGAAUGCUAGGUGUCGGGAGGCAAAG
rnacentral:rRNA from 1 species